AUGGUAAGAUGUGCUUGCUUCCCCUUCACUUUCCGACUUGAUCCUAAGUUUCCCAGCCAUGCUUCCUGUACAGCUUGUGGAACUACUAACCAAUAUAACUAGCCAAUUAACAAAAAGAAAAGAAAAGAAAAAGAAAUCACGUGUUUUUAUUUGGAGACGAGAGCAUCCAGUUUCACAUCACUACUGAACACAUGUUUGCUGCAGUUUACUAGAGGUCCACUCCAGACCCUGUUUGCCUGGGUAUCACCAGUGGAGGCUGCAGAACAGCCAAGAUUGCUGCCUGCUUCUUCCUCUGGAAGCUUCGUCCCAAAGGGACAACAGGCUGAUGCCAGCUGGAGCUCUCCUGUAUGAGGUGUCUGUCAGUCCCUGCUGGGAGGUCUCUCCCAGUCAGGAGGCUUGGGGGAUCAGGGACCCACCUGAGGAGGCAGUCUAUCCCUUAGCAGAGCUUGAGAACUAUGCUGGAAGAAUACUCCUUGUCAGGAUCAGCUGCUCUCUUCAGAGCCGGCAGGCAGGAAAGUUUAAGUCUGCUGAAGCUGUCCCUACAGCCACCCCUUCCCCCAGGUGCUCUGUCCCAGGGAGAUGAGAGUUUUAUCUAUAAGCCCCUGACUGGCAUUUCUUUCAGAGAUGCCCUGCUGAGUGAGGAGGAAUCCAGAGAGGCAGUCUGGCCACAGCCACUUUGCCACACUGUGUUGAGUUCUGCCCAGUCCAAACUUCCAGGCCCCCUUAGCACUAUCAGGGGAAAACCACCUACUCAAGCC
rnacentral:lncRNA from 1 species